UGGGGAAUAUUGGACAAUGGGCGCAAGCCUGAUCCAGCCAUGCCGCGUGGGUGAUGAGGGCCUUCGGGUCGUAAAGCUCUUUUGGCGGGGACGAUAAUGACGGUACCCGCAGAAUAAGCCCCGGCUAACUUCGUGCCAGCAGCCGCGGUAAUACGAAGGGGGCUAGCGUUGUUCGGAAUUACUGGGCGUAAAGCGCACGUAGGCGGACUGAUAAGUCAGGGGUGAAAUCCCGGGGCUCAACCUCGGAACUGCCUUUGAUACUGUUAGUCUCGAGUCCGGAAGAGGUGAGUGGAAUUCCUAGUGUAGAGGUGAAAUUCGUAGAUAUUAGGAAGAACACCAGUGGCGAAGGCGGCUCACUGGUCCGGUACUGACGCUGAGGUGCGAAAGCGUGGGGAGCAAACAGGAUUAGAUACCCCCGUAGUCCCUGAGCGGGCUGGCAAGGCGCAU
rnacentral:rRNA from 1 species